AGCAGCCGCGGUAAUUCCAGCUCCAAUAGCGUAUAUUAAAGUUGUUGCAGUUAAAAAGCUCGUAGUUGAAUUUCGGGGUUAGUAGGUUGGUCAUGCCUCCGGUAUGUACUGAUCUCACUGAUUCCUCCUUCCUUAUGAACCGUAAUGCCAUUAAUUUGGUGUUGCGGGGAAUUUGGACUGUUACUUUGAAAAAAUUAGAGUGUUUAAAGCAGGCUAACGCUUGAAUACAUUAGCAUGGAAUAAUGAAAUAGGACGUUCGAUCUUAUUUUGUUGGUUUCUAGGAUUGACGUAAUGAUUAAUAGGGAUAGUUGGGGGCAUUAGUAUUCAAUUGUCAGAGGUGAAAUUCUUGGAUUUAUUGAAGACUAACUACUGCGAAAGCAUUUGCCAAGGAUGUUUUCAUUAAUCAAGAACGAAAGUUAGGGGAUCGAAGACGAUCAGAUACCGUCGUAGUCCUAACCAUAAACUAUGCCGACUAGGGAUCGGAUGAUGUUAAUUUUUUAAUGACUCA
rnacentral:rRNA from 1 species